rnacentral:SRP_RNA from 1 species
ACCGGGAGGCUGAGGCUGGAGGAUCGUUUGAGCUCAGGAGCUCUGAGCUGUAGUGGACUAUGCCGAUCGGGUGUCCGCACUAAGUUCGGUAUCGAUAUGGUGCUCCUGGGGGAGCCCGGGACCACCAGGUCGUCUAAGGAGGGGUGCACCGGCCCAGGUCGGAGACGNUGUCCGCACUAAGUUCGGUAUCGAUAUGGUGUUCCUGGGGGAGCCCGGGACCACCAGGUCGUCUAAGGAGGGGUGCACCGGCCCAGGUCGGAGACGGAGCAGGUCAAAGCCCCCGUGCCGCUCAGUAGUGGGAUCGCGCCUGUGAGUAGAAGCUGUAGUGAAGCCUGAGUAAUACAGCGGGACCCAGUCUUU